GAAUCUUAGACAAUGGGCGCAAGCCUGAUCUAGCGAUGCCGCGUGAGUGAUGAAGGCCUUAGGGUCGUAAAGCUCUUUCGCCAGGGAUGAUAGUGACAGUACCUGGUAAAGAAACCCCGGCUAACUCCGUGCCAGCAGCCGCGGUAAUACGGAGGGGGUUAGCGUUGUUCGGAAGUACUGGGCGUAAAGCGUACGUAGGCGGAUCAGAAAGUCAGGGGUGAAAUCCCGAGGCUCAACCUCGGAACUGCCUCUAAAACUCCUGGUCUUGAGUUCGAGAGAGGUGAGUGGAAUUCCAAGUGUAGAGGUGAAAUUCGUAGAUAUUUGGAGGAACACCAGUGGCGAAGGCGGCUCACUGGCUCGAUACUGACGCUGAGGUACGAAAGUGUGGGGAGCAAACAGGA
rnacentral:rRNA from 1 species